rnacentral:rRNA from 1 species
UCGGACGCGAGUACCCGCUGAACUUAAGCAUAUCAGUAAGCGGAGGAAAAGAAACUAACAAGGAUUCCCUUAGUAACGGCGAGUGAAA